rnacentral:tRNA from 1 species
GUGGAUGUAGCUCAGGCGGUAGAGCACUGGAUUGUGGUUCCAGUCGUCGGGGGUUCGAGUCCCCUCAUCCACC